rnacentral:lncRNA from 1 species
UAAUAGGCACCUGCCACAAGAGGGCAGUACAUUUACUUGAAUUGUUUCUUCAAAAAUCUUCAACUGGAGAUUUUCCAAGCUACUUCCUCUUGCUGACAAACUGACGGCUUGUUUGAUGCCUCUCUGUCAUGAGGAGACGUGUUGAGUGCUCGUUGGGGACUUGUGUUUGCCCCGUGGCCAUGAGAAGAGCGCAGUGCUUUCUCUCAGCCUGCAAACAGAGACGCUUUCAUUUCCGCGCCAAGUGCUUCUGCCCUGGUGACCUCUUGGCAGUGCACGGCGACCGAAUGGAGCAGUGAGGUCGGGCUCGGGGUUGCAGGGUUGCUCUGACUGGGAGACGCCGGGCUAAGGGACUGCGGAGAUCCGGAUAAAAAGGCUGGAAGGUGAGCGUGCAGCGCCGGGAUGGACGGAACCGAAGCAGGAGCGGGUUUGAUUGGCACGGGGAUCGCCGGUAAACUUUGCGCGCCGUGACUCAGGGAUUUGAGUGGUACUCCAUAAGCAGCAUAUUCAGCGUCAAUCACAUUACUGCUGUACAUGUGGGGCCAAGCCGUGGUCAGUUGGUUGUGUAUUUGAUAACCCGUGGACAUGGAGUGCAUGGCGGAGAAAGCAAGACUUCCUGGCAUUUUGUAAUCUCUGGCAAUGAUGUUUUCGAUGGCAAAGGGGUGUUUAAAGGUGGAGGGUUGAGUCACACUUA